rnacentral:rRNA from 1 species
UACAGAGGGUGCAAGCGUUAAUCGGAAUUACUGGGCGUAAAGCGUGCGUAGACGGUUACGUAAGUUAGGUGUGAAAGCCCCGGGCUCAGCCUGGGAAUUGCAUUUAAGACUGCGUAGCUAGGGUGCGGAAGAGGGAAGCGGAAUUUCCGGUGUAGCGGUGAAAUGCGUAGAUAUCGGAAGGAACAUCAGUGGCGAAAGCGGCUUCCUGGUCCAGCACCGACGUUCAGGCACGAAAGCGUGGGGAGCAAACAGG